rnacentral:rRNA from 1 species
UGAUGUGGGGGAUAACCAUUGGAAACGAUGGCUAAUACCGCAAGAUGCCUACGGGCCAAAGAGGGGGACCUUCGGGCCUCUCGCGUCAGGAUAUGCCUAGGUGGGAUUAGCUAGUUGGUGAGGUAAGGGCUCACCAAGGCGACGAUCCCUAGCUGGUCUGAGAGGAUGAUCAGCCACACUGGAACUGAGACACGGUCCAGACUCCUACGGGAGGCAGCAGUGGGGAAUAUUGCACAAUGGGCGCAAGCCUGAUGCAGCCAUGCCGCGUGUGUGAAGAAGGCCUUCGGGUUGUAAAGCACUUUCAGUCGUGAGGAAGGUGGUGUAGUUAAUAGCUGCAUUAUUUGACGUUAGCGACAGAAGAAGCACCGGCUAACUCCGUGCCAGCAGCCGCGGUAAUACGGAGGGUGCGAGCGUUAAUCGGAAUUACUGGGCGUAAAGCGCAUGCAGGUGGUUUGUUAAGUCAGAUGUGAAAGCCCGGGGCUCAACCUCGGAAUUGCAUUUGAAACUGGCAGACUAGAGUACUGUAGAGGGGGGUAGAAUUUCAGGUGUAGCGGUGAAAUGCGUAGAGAUCUGAAGGAAUACCGGUGGCGAAGGCGGCCCCCUGGACAGAUACUGACACUCAGAUGCGAAAGCGUGGGGAGCAAACAGGAUUAGAUACCCUGGUAGUCCACGCCGUAAACGAUGUCUACUUGGAGGUUGUGGCCUUGAGCCGUGGCUUUCGGAGCUAACGCGUUAAGUAGACCGCCUGGGGAGUACGGUCGCAAGAUUAAAACUCAAAUGAAUUGACGGGGGCCCGCACAAGCGGUGGAGCAUGUGGUUUAAUUCGAUGCAACGCGAAGAACCUUACCUACUCUUGACAUCCAGAGAACUUUCCAGAGAUGGAUUGGUGCCUUCGGGAACUCUGAGACAGGUGCUGCA